rnacentral:tRNA from 1 species
CGCGCGCCUGCGAGAGAUGGACGGUCGCAGCGCCGUCAUGGUGCGCGGGGCGGGCACGGAGUUCGACUCCCUGCGCGAGU